UACAGAGGGGGCAAGCGUUGUUCGGAAUUACUGGGCGUAAAGGGCGCGUAGGCGGCCUGCUAAGUCGAACGUGAAAUCCCCGGGCUCAACCCGGGAACUGCGUCCGAUACUGGCAGGCUUGAAUCCGGGAGAGGGAUGCGGAAUUCCAGGUGUAGCGGUGAAAUGCGCAGAUAUCGGGAGGAACACCAGUAGCGAAGGCGGCUCGCUGGGCCACACCUGACGCUGAGACGCGAAAGCUAGGGGAGCGAACAGG
rnacentral:rRNA from 1 species